UUACUAUGUAUUUCCUUUAAA
rnacentral:piRNA from 1 species